UACGUAGGGUGCAAGCGUGGUCCGGAAUUAUUGGGCGUAAAGAGCUCGUAGGCGGUCUGUCACGUCUGCUGUGAAAACUCGGGGCUUAACCCCGGGCCUGCAGUGGGUACGGGCAGACUAGAGUGCGGUAGGGGAGACUGGAAUUCCUGGUGUAGCGGUGAAAUGCGCAGAUAUCAGGAGGAACACCGGUGGCGAAGGCGGGUCUCUGGGCCGUAACUGACGCUGAGGAGCGAAAGCGUGGGGAGCGAACAGG
rnacentral:rRNA from 1 species